rnacentral:rRNA from 1 species
GACGAACGCUGGCGGCGUGCUUAACACAUGCAAGUCGAACGGUGAAGCCCUUCGGGGUGGAUCAGUGGCGAACGGGUGAGUAACACGUGGGCAAUCUGCCCUGCACUCUGGGACAAGCCCUGGAAACGGGGUCUAAUACCGGAUAUUACCUUCCUCUGCAUGGGGGUUGGUGGAAAGCUCCGGCGGUGCAGGAUGAGCCCGCGGCCUAUCAGCUUGUUGGUGGGGUAAUGGCCUACCAAGGCGACGACGGGUAGCCGGCCUGAGAGGGCGACCGGCCACACUGGGACUGAGACACGGCCCAGACUCUACGGGAGGCAGCAGUGGGGAAUAUUGCACAAUGGGCGCAAGCCUGAUGCAGCGACGCCGCGUGAGGGAUGACGGCCUUCGGGUUGUAAACCUCUUUCAGCAGGGAAGAAGCGCAAGUGACGGUACCUGCAGAAGAAGCACCGGCUAACUACGUGCCAGCAGCCGCGGUAAUACGUAGGGUGCGAGCGUUGUCCGGAAUUAUUGGGCGU